AGUUUGAUCCUGGCUCAGGACUAACGCUGGCGGCGUGCCUAACACAUGCAAGUCGAACGAGUUGUUUACCAGUAGCAAUACCAGUAAACGGCAAGUGGCGAACGGGUGAGUAACACGUASAUAAUCUGCCUUUCAGACGGGGACAACCCAGGGAAACUUGGGCUAAUACCCGAUGAGACCACGUCCCGGGAGGGAUGCGGCCAAAGGUGGGGGUAACCUCAUGCUGGAAGAUGAGUCUGCGUCCUAUCAGGUAGUUGGUGGGGUAAUGGCCUACCAAGCCGAAGACGGGUAGCCGGCCUGAGAGGGUGAACGGCCACACUGGGACUGAGACACGGCCCAGACUCCUACGGGAGGCAGCAGUGAGGAAUUUUCCGCAAUGGGCGUAAGCCUGACGGAGCGACGCCGCGUGAGGGAUGACGGCUUUCGGGUUGUAAACCUCUUUUAUUAAGGAAAAAGGUAUGCGUGCUAAUACCACGUAUGCUUGAUGGUACUUAUUGAAUAAGCCCCGGCUAACUACGUGCCAGCAGCCGCGGUAAUAC
rnacentral:rRNA from 1 species